CCCUGCCUCCCCCUGGCUUUGGUAGCUAACUCAGCCUGUAUGCUUUUAAGCAUUUUACCAUCGGAUGGGCCCCAGCCAUCAGUCUGACAAAAGUGGGUUAAGUUAUGUGGUUCAUCAGAAAGUCUGUGGGAUAAACAAAAUGAGAGGAGAGGAUUCCUUGAGUCGACAGGUCUACCUCACCCUCACCCAAAGUGCAGCCAGCCACAGCUUUACAUGGAAAUUGUCACGUUUGUCGUUGGUAAUGGAGGACCAAAACGCAGCAGG
rnacentral:lncRNA from 1 species